ensembl:lncRNA
GAGCGCUGAUUCAUGCAGUCUGUUCAAAGAGGCUCACAUAUGAGUAGAUCUGAAAGUGUGGUUGACAGCGACGGGAGCAAAAAAAUAUCCAAAUGCAUUCAAAGGAAGAGGAAAUGACAGAGGAAUAGGCAUUCAGCAAAGAGAGAGGAGGCAAAGGAAAAGGCUUCUAGUGAGCUGUGUGUGAAGAUGCACACUAAAGAAGGAGAAAAGGAAUUGUAUCUAUUGGCUCAGCAGAGUGAGCUGGAAAGGAUGUGCAGCAGAUUAGCGUGAUUAAGGAUAGGGAAGAAAAUUUAAGGAGUGUAGAGACUGUGCUGAGAAGAUGAAAGAAGAUUAAUGAGAAAGAGAAGAGGACAGAUUGAGGAGCAGUGUUGGCUUAUCACACAUUUGAUUUCCAUGUGUGACAACUGCAAGUGUCCAGAGUGAGGACAGACUGAGGGACCCACUGCUGCACAUCAUCUGUGAGGCUUUGCACCCCUGAUGAUCCACCAGGACAAACUCAGCAGUGUGUGAGGAAGAGGAGGAGGAAGAGCCAGCAGCAGCUGACAGAUGGAGAGAAUAGACAGACUGUUCCUGUUUGUGAAGGACUGCUAGGAAAUUUUGAAAUAACUAAUUGUCUGUCCUGAAUCAGUCUUAUUAGGUAAUGUUCAAAUAAUGUUAUCAUCCCAGUGUUUUCAGUGUGGGAGAAAGUACUCAGGGCCUUCAAGUUACACACUAUGAAAGGCAGCAACAAGUUUAAUAUUCAGAAACCUAAAGUAUGUAUCAGCAGCAGAAUGGAGCUAAAAAUAAAUGUUUGUUUCAGUUCUAUGAAGCUUUGAGUAUUUUGGAUUAGUAGCACUGCUGUGUUUGUUGCACCAUAUUGCUGUAAUUGUUUAUAUGCUUUAUAUAUUCUGAGCUAAGUUGAUCUAUAGUAUUACAUCAUAUUCUAUAAGGAUGUUAUGUGUUUGUGUACUUUCUGCCCAGUUUGACCCAUUUAGCAGAAGUCAGCCUGUUUAAGGCUCUGAUAUCUAUUCUGUAUGACUUAAAGCAGUUAUGACAUGGUCUGAUUUUCUCACCCAAUAAAG